rnacentral:rRNA from 1 species
AACUAACGCUGGCGGCGUGCCUAACACAUGCAAGUCGUACGAGAAAGCCGGCUUCGGCUGGUGAGUAAAGUGGCGCACGGGUGAGUAACGCGUGGAUAAUCUGCCCUUAAGUGUGGAAUAACGUACCGAAAGGUGCGCUAAUACCGCAUAAUGCCUGGCAACACAAGUUGUCCGGCCAAAGAAGGCCUCUGUUUACAAGCUUUCGCUUCAGGAUGAGUCCGCGUACCAUUAGCUUGUUGGUGGGGUAAUGGCCUACCAAGGCUGCGAUGGUUAGCUGGUCUGAGAGGAUGAUCAGCCACACUGGAACUGAGACACGGUCCAGACUCCUACGGGAGGCAGCAGUGAGGAAUAUUGCGCAAUGGGGGCAACCCUGACGCAGCAACGCCGCGUGAGUGAGGAAGGCCUUCGGGUCGUAAAGCUCUGUCAGAGUGGGAAGAAAGUAGGAGUAGGGGGACUAAGUAUACGUCCCCAUACCGUUCGACGGUACCCAUCAGAGGAAGACCG